rnacentral:rRNA from 2 species
GUGCGAGACCGAUAGCGAACAAGUACCGUGAGGAAAAGAUGAAAAGAACUUUGAAAAGAGAGUUAAAGAGUACCUGAAACUGCUGAAAGGGAAGCGAAUCGUAUCCAGUGUCUAUAAUCUGCGGCAUAUUUCAUUGGCGGCAGUGUGCGUGCUUUUGCGUCGGAAGCGGCUUUUGUUGCUCUGUGCUUUUGCUGUGCGUGCCGUUGCUGGUGCCCUGUGUUGCGGUGGGACGUCAGAGUCAGUUCGCAUGCUGCGGGAAAUGGCCGCCGAGGAGGUAGGUCAGGACUUCGGUCUUGGCUGUUAUAUCUUGGUGGUAUGUUGUCGUGGUUGGGACUGAGGUGCCUACAAUGUGCUUUUGAGUGUGCCGGGUUUUCAUUUGGUGGACUGUUUGGAUAGCUUGCUAUGCUUGUGGUUUUUUCAUCGAGUGAUUGAGUCUGGUGGUAACUUGUUGCUGUUCGGGACUUUGA